GUCCUUGUAUGAAUUAAUGUUUUUACUUAUUAAUGCUCUGAGUCUGGGAAAAUGGCAAGUGUUAAGACUCAGCUUUAAAAAGUUUUGUCACUUUUUAGUCUUUUAUGCAAACCUCAGAUCGAAGAAAACAGCAUAAAUACUUUUCACUCAGUAAAUUUUCCCAGUUAAUGUAUAUUCACAUCUUUAAAAUGCAGCAUUCCAAAAUAUGCCCGGUGCUAUCCGCCCAGCUGCUCCUAGACCACCAUUUAGUACUAUGAGACCAGCUUCUUCACAGGUUCCACGAGUCAUGUCAACACAGCGUGUUGCUAACACAUCAACACAGACAAUGGGUCCACGUCCUGCAGCUGCAGCUGCUGCAGCUACUCCUGCUGUCCGCACCGUUCCACAGUAUAAAUAUGCUGCAGGAGUUCGCAAUCCUCAGCAACAUCUUAAUGCACAGCCACAAGUUACAAUGCAACAGCCUGCUGUUCAUGUACAAGGUCAGGAACCUUUGACUGCUUCCAUGUUGGCAUCUGCCCCUCCUCAAGAGCAAAAGCAAAUGUUGGGUGAACGGCUGUUUCCUCUUAUUCAAGCCAUGCACCCUACUCUUGCUGGUAAAAUCACUGGCAUGUUGUUGGAGAUUGAUAAUUCAGAACUUCUUCAUAUGCUUGAGUCUCCAGAGUCACUCCGUUCUAAG
rnacentral:sRNA from 1 species